ACUUUUCUCCAAACACUCUGGCUAAAGUGAAAGUAGCAACCCUUUAAUAUGGCAUUUUGAAAAGUCAUCUUGAUGGCGUUUUGAGCAGCUGACUCAAAAUCAGUGAACACACUCACUGGAUCCAAUACAAUGUUCUUAGAGGCCGCUACAUUCUUCACAUUUUCAAAGAAACGUUCAUAUGUCGACUGCUUUUUAUCUGGGAGCAGACCAUACACCAAAGGGCACAUCUUAUUUUGCACAAAUGCAUGAAUGGUGUAAAGCUGGGUGAACACACCAGGGCACUUGUCAAAUGUUCCGUCACAGUAGUACACAUCUGCUUCGGAGAGAAGUCGCAGGUUCUCGUCAGUCGCGAAGGUCAGGAUCUUGUCAUGGUCGCCGUGAGAAAACAGCAGGAAGUUGUCAUUGGCAUGCGUCUUAGUAUAUGCAUCGGGAAGAUCUAUUGCUGAUCUAGUUGCUGGCAGAUGGGGAUGUCUUUGGCUCGGGAGCGGUAUAGAGCAGGACGUACACUGUCAAAGAUGGGCACUUCUGCAAUGAUGUCAGGAUUCAUCACUCUCAGACCUAGAACAGAGAAACACAAUUAUUUAAUAGUAAUUAAAAAGUUGCCAAGUAUUUAUGUUAAUAUUUACCUGAUAACUCCUCCUGAUAAAGAGAUGGAAUUGGUUUGGAAUCUUUUCGGACAAGGUCCUUAAGAUUGGCCAAGAAAGAAUCUACAGCGAUUCUAUUCUCCACAGAUGCAUGGUUAUGCUGGUCUCUGUAGGACGUGAGAAUAUUAUCUUUGGUGUUAACCGUGGCAUGGCAGUUCUUCUGGGCGCAGUUCAAUGGACAGAUGUUCCUCGUCUUCUUUUAACUACAAACUUGUAAUUUUGGAACACUAAGUACUGACCACCUCUACCAUUAGGAAUAAACUGGACAUUAACCUGUUGGUUAGCCAUCGUGACUGACCUUAAAGAACCUCAUGUACCAUUUUAUAAUCGUGUAAUAGUGAAAAGUGUUCACUGAAUUAAAAAAACACAAAUAGCAUAAUCGACACAAUUUAAUUAAA